ensembl:rRNA predicted gene, 22094
UUCUGCAGCCAUACCACCCUGAAGGCACCCAAUAUUAUCUGAUCUCAAAAGUUAAUAAAGGUAGAUCCUGGUUAGUGGUUGGGUAGAGGUAGGCUGAGAAGACACCUGGUAGAGUAU